AUGGCAGCAAAUUCGGCUGCCUCGGCCGCGACUACUACUGCCACGACAGCAGUUUCAUCGCUGGGAUCGGCUGCAGCUCGUGCGUCGCCCAGGACGGCUGCCAUGGCAGCAGAUUCGGCCGCCUCGGCAGCGACUUCUGUUGCCAUGGCAGCAGUCUCGCCCGGCACAGCUGCAGAAUCGCCUGCACCUUCCUCGUCGAGCGCGACCAGUGGCUGCAGCUCCCCUGUGGUCUUCGCCGGUGGCUCUACCCCACCUUCGCCGCCCGGCCGAGCUCAUCCCAUGGUGACACGGGCUCGCGCGGGCAUCACUCGCCGCAAUACGCAGUACGACGAUGAUUACAUCCUCACUGCCACCGUGCCUUCUCCAUCACCUGUUCCCACGUCGGUUCGAGCAGCCCUCGCGAAUGCUCACUGGCGACAGGCCAUGCAGGAGGAAUUUGACGCCCUCCGCGCCAACGCUACCUGGACCUUGGUUCCUCGGCCACCCGGUGCCCACGUCAUCUCCGGCAAGUGGAUUUUUCGCCACAAGCUACAUCCCGAUGGCACUUUGGAUCGGUACAAGGCGAGGUGGGUCGUCCGUGGCUUCACCCAACGUCACGGCAUCGAUUACCAUGACACCUUCUCGCCUGUCGUCAAGCCGGCGUCCAUCCGCAUCGUCCUCCAGCUCGCCGCCUCUCGGAAUUGGCCGGUCCACCAGCUUGACGUUAAAAACGCCUUUCUCCACGGUGAACUAACCGAGCAUGUCUACUGUCAGCAGCCAGCGGGUUUUCUUGACGAGGCACGCCCACAUGAUGUGUGUCUUCUCUCCAAGUCGCUCUACGGCCUCAAGCAGGCUCCCCGUGCUUGGUUCACGAAGAUCACCACCUGUCUACAUUCCAUUGGGUUCACGGCAACUCGCUCCGAUGCCUCGCUCUUUGUCUAUCGUCACGGCCACGACAUCGCCUACCUGCUACUCUACGUCGACGACAUCGUCCUCACCGCCUCGUCAGACGUACUGCUCCGCCGUGUCAUCGCACAACUCACCGCCACCGUCGCGCUGAAGGACUUGGGCGCGCUGCACUUCUUCCUCGGCAUCCAAGUGCGGCGCACCUCGGCGGGGUUCUUUCUUCAUCAACAUCAGUAUGCCGAGGACCUGCUACAUCGCGCUGGCAUGACCAACUGCAGGCCGGCCCCAACUCCGGUCGACACGCGGUCCAAGCUCUCUGCCUCCCACGGAGAACUUGCGGAUGAUGCCACCUCCUACCGCAGUAUCACCGGUGCACUGCAGUAUCUCACAUUGACGCGCCCGGAUCUUACUUAUGCUGUUCAACAGGUCUGCUUAUACAUGCACGCUCCCCGGCAGCCCCACUGGUCCAUGGUGAAGCGCAUCCUUCGCUAUGUCCGCGGGACUGUCAGCCACGGCAUAACCAUCAGCUCCUCACCGCCGCAUGAGCUCGUCGCAUACAGUGACGCUGACUGGGCUGGCUGCCCCGACACACGACGUUCCACCUCCGGUUAUUGCCUGUUUCUUGGUGGGUCGCUCAUCUCUUGGUCGUCCAAGAGGCAACCCACCGUGUCCAGGUCCAGUGCAGAGGCGGAGUACCGCGCUGUGGCCAAUGCCGUCGCCGAGUGCUGUUGGACGCGACAGCUUCUCCAGGAGCUUCACUCCGGCAUCGACAAAGCCACGGUUGUUUACUGUGACAAUGUGUCAGCCGUCUACCUUGCUCAGAGUCCUGUACAUCACCGCCGGACCAAGCACAUCGAACUCGACAUCCACUUUGUUCGUGAGAAGGUUGCUCUUGGUCAGUUUCGCGUCCUGCAUGUGCCGACCACCUCGCAGUUCGCUGACAUCAUGACCAAAGGGCUGCCGACCGCCACGUUUGAGGAUUUCAGGUCCAGCCUGUGCGUCACCAACAGCGACGCUCUGUCUGCGGGGGGGUGUUGGAAUGAGUCUGCAGGCCCACGUACUUCUCCAACUAAUCACGACCGGCAUGCCUCGCCUGCCUCCUAG
rnacentral:rRNA from 1 species